ensembl:lncRNA
GUAUAACAAAUAUAUGUAUUUCAACAUUGUUGUAGAGAACAAAGGAAUCUAGAGAUUUGAGAUUAAAUUGAUGAACAGAAAAACGAAUAAUUCUACCCACUGUCAUCUCUGUUCACAGCGUGUCUGGUGUAAAAACAACAGGCAACAAUUUGAUUACUUAAACGCUUGAGUCGAGAAAAAUGAAUGGCACAUUGUCAAAGCAUGCAGGCACACCACGGGAUGAUCAUUACUGAAUUAUGUAGAAAUACACAUAAAAAGUGCCAGAGGUUGCGGACUGGGGUGGUCUAGCGGUCUAAGCCACUGCCUCUGCCCCACUGCUACAAUAUUUCAGCACAUCGCCUCUAUCUCUAUUCAAUUCAAUAAACAUGAAACAUGGGACUGCCCCACUCGUUUAAAAAUAUAAAUGUGGCCCACAUGGCCCCUGGGGAAUUGGCAUUUGAUUCCUUGAUCAACCUCUUUCAACUAUUUAUUCAACCCUCUCUCACCUGUCCCCCUCUCAUUAUGUGUAUCUGAAUAAACAACGAAUACGAACAUUGAACUUUAUUCCGUUCUCCUUCAAAGGAAUUACUUGUUUGUUGUGUUGCAUUAUUGUGACCAUGUCUUCUACUCUUUCCUCCAGGGGAGCCGCUGGCAGGUCGAUCCGGACUGGGCGUCCCCCGAGGUUACUGGAACUUCUCCUGGAUGGCCCAGGAUGAGCUGAACUCCCCCAAGGUCAUGGCACCGACGUCAGAUAUCGGGUGCCCUGGAAAAAGGAAGUCAUGUGACCGCCCGUACCCCGAAUAUAACCCUUAUUUCACGUGGAGCGUGGUGGUGGCGGAGAACCCUUGGGAAGAGGGGAACGAGAGGAUGGAAAGGAAAGGAGGAAGUCCACAGGGCUGGGAGGAAGGUCAGUUUCUGUGGGUGAACGACUCUGCAUUGGCCGGUCCCUGGGUCCUGAGCCCCUGGCUGUGGGGAGGUCGGGACCCCUGCGGGCUGGACAUGGCCGUGUUCCUGCACCCCCAGAAGAGCGGACGCUACACAGUGUGGCUCAUCGAGAGGGACAAACAUCCGCUAACCCUCCUGUCCACUGACACGCUGCCGCGCAUCACAGGGUAAGCAGGCCUUCAUUUUUAUGUAUUUUUUCAAGGAGAAUGUAACUUAUUUAGAAAUAUAGAUGGGCAGAUAGAUGAGAGUGAUAUUGCACAAGAAGUGCGUGGCGGAACGGGGGAUCGAACAGCUGCCUCCAGGAGCAUAUAGUGCCUUGAAGAAGUAUUUGCCCCCUUUCUGAUUUUCUCUAUUUUUACAUAUUUUUUUUAUACUGAAUGUUAGCAUAUCUUCAAACAAAACAUAAUAUUAGAUAAAGGGAACCUGAGUUUACAAAUAACAAAAAAAAGGUGUACUUAUUUUAUUUAUUUCAUUAAGAAAGUUAUGCAACACCCAAUUCCCCUGUGUGAAAAAGUAAUUGCCCCCUUACACUCAGUAACUGGUUGUGCUACCUUUAACUGCAAUGGCUGUAACCAAACACUUCCUGUAGUUGUUGAUCAGUCUAUCACAUCGCAGUGGAGGAAUUUUGGCCCACUCUUCCAUGCAGAACUGCUUUAAAUCAGCGAAAUUUGUGGGUUUUCAAGCAUGAACUGCUCGUUUCAAGUCCUGCCACAAAGUCUCAAUUGGGAUUAAGUCUGGACUUCAACUAGGCCAUUCCAAAACUUAACAUUUCCUGCUUUUUAACUAUGUUCAUGUAGACUUGAUUGUGUGGUUUGGAUCAUAGUCUCGCUGCAUGACGCACUUCAGCUUCAGCUCCCUGACAGAUAGCCUGACAUUCUCCUGUAGAGUUCUCUGAUACAGAGCAGAAUUCAUGGUUCCUUACUAUUAAGACAAGUCAUCCAGGCCCUACCACCAUGCCUGAUGUUUACGCUGUGUCUUUAUUAAUCAUUUUCAUCCUGUGCCCACACACUUCUAAUUCUGAAAAGUGAAAGCAUACCUGUGAAGGUGGUUGCACUGGUAGUAGUUGUAAGUUUUUAUACAUUACCCAAGACCAGUGAGUUAAUUUGACCACUGGAAAAAGAGCUACUGUGUAAAUUCUGCAAUGCGGGUAUGAUUGUAUUGAGCCCUUGGCCUAUGUAAACACAAACAUUCAUGCACACGUACAAGCAAAUGUCUGAUAGCUGGGGUAUGCAGAAUAAUUCAACCGCAACAUACAGACCUUAAAACACAAACUAAUCACAAGGAAAUCACAACCAAAAAAUUGCGUUGAUGCCCUUUACUAAAGGUGUUUCCAUCUAUCCUCCAGUGUGUGUGUGUGUGUGUGUGUGUGUGUGUGUGUGUGUGUGUGUGUGUGUGCUUGCAUGUGUGCUUGCAUGUGUGCUUGCAUGCAUCUAAGACAGGGCUCUCCAACUCUGUUCCUGGAGAGCUACCCUUUUCACUUCAACCCCAGUUAAAACUAACCCUAUUCAAUUUAUCAUCCAGCUAAAUAUUAGAAUCAGGUGCGCUAGAUUAGAGUUGGACUGAAAAUGUACAGGACAGUAGCUCUCCAGGAACAGGGCUGGAGAGCCCUGGUGUAAGAGCAUGUGCAUGAGAUUGUGCGUAUCUGCAUGUCUUCUGUGUGUAUCCAGUGUAUCAGGUGCUGGAUCGAAAAAAACUGUGGUUUUCCUAUGUGUAUGCCGACAUGCGUAGUUGUGUGUCUGCAUGUGUCCAACCCCAAACGCACACCAGGGACUCGGUUGUUACACGUGUGAUGGAUUAGGUAGUCAGGCCCAGUCAUCCGCCCACACACUAUCAGUCCUCUGAGCCUAGCCAACUCCUUUUUCCUCUCUAGCACUCCGCUAGGGGAAUGCUCAAUAUCACACACACACACACAGAGGAGAGAGAGAGAGAGAGAGAGAGAGAGAGAGAGAGAGAGAGGAGCACAGACAAAAACACUAAAUGGACUGGGGAGACAUUUUUAGGUUUGGUUGAUAAAUAAUUAGUAUGUUGCUCUGCUUUCAAGAUCACAACAAUGUUUUGAACCAUUUUACAAUCACUGAAAAUGUUCCAUAAAAUGGCUGGAAAGGGAAGGAUACCUGCUCCAACAUAGUGAAAAAUAUUGUGUGCUUGAACAUAAUCUUGAUUUUUUUUCUCAGAGGGUGGGGUUAAAUAAUGUUCGCUGCAGGGUUUUUCUUCAUUUAGUUGGAUAAACGUGCAUGAAUAUGUCCAGAUGUAUAUUCUGAAAGUAUUAGACCCUAUUUACAGGUGUGUGACAAAUUUGUAUUAGCAUUUGCACUCAGCUUCUUCAUGACAUGUAGACUUUAUUUGGUAGUAAAAACUUUAACACGGUAGUGACUCACAGAUUCGUCAUGGAUAAGAUGAAUACAUAUCUAAAUAAGAUGACAACAUAAUCCCCUGAGUUCCCCUGCUGCCUAGGGGGCCUAAGAAUAAUGCGACACACCUCGCACCUCUCCCAAAACCAGACUCAGCAACAGACUAGAAAUCUGAGUUGGUUGAAGCAAAAAUAAAAUGUUGAUUGGCACAUCUUAAAUAAAGUGUUUCGCCAACUGUUGAAGGUGCCAAGGUCCAAAGAAAGUGUGUCAAGCAUUGAAAGAGUAAUAUACAUAUAUAUAUAUAUAUAUAAUAAUAAAUAAAUAAUAAUAAUAAAUAAUAAUUUUGCACGCCCAAUUUUUCAGUUUUUGAUUUGUUAAAAAAGUUUGAAAUAUCCAAUAAAUGUCGUUCCACUUCAUGAUUGUGUCCCACUUGUUGUUGAUUCUUCACAAAAAAAUACAGUUUUCUAUCUUUGUUUGAAGCCUGAAAUGUGGCAAAAGUCGCAAAGUUCAAGGGGGCCGAAUACUUUCGCAAGGCACUGUGUAUAUAUAUAUAUAUAUAUAUAUAUAUAUGUUUUUUUCUGUCUCUAACCAUAAUAUAAUAACUUGUUGAAGGACAAUUAUUUGAAAACCAUUCACAUUGUAUAUGUAUACUGUAUCUGCCGUUGUUGAGUCAGUUGCAUACAGUAUGUUAUUACUCUCAUACUAAGGGCUCAUAAUACUACAAUUAUGCCUGUUGGCUUUCAGUAAAGUAUUACCAAAUCAACAAAAAUGCUUCAUUGUAUCUCCAUGUCUUUCUACCUAAACAUCAGCCUCAGGGCUUCUGCUAGGCCCUCUGCUCUUCAAAGACUACUAGCUCACACUGUGCAUCUGUCAGGGGGAUAAGAGUCACAGUCGGGUGGGGGGUUGGAUUGAGAU